ACGGAGGGUGCGAGCGUUAAUCGGAAUUACUGGGCGUAAAGCGUGCGCAGGCGGUUCGGUAAGUCUGAUGUGAAAGCCCCGGGCUCAACCUGGGAAUGGCAUUGGAUACUGGCGGGCUGGAGUGUGGCAGAGGGGGGUGGAAUUCCGCGUGUAGCAGUGAAAUGCGUAGAGAUGCGGAGGAACACCAGAGGCGAAGGCGACACCCUGGGCCGUACCUGACGCUAAGACGCGACAGCACGGGGAGCGAACGG
rnacentral:rRNA from 1 species